AUGGACUUGGUGGGUCUCUCUCUGCCUCUAUUACUUGUGUUUUGGCAAUGGACAACUACCACAGGCGCCGCCGUGACGUACUGGACGUACACGGGUAAGAACAUCUCUCUCAAUAACCAAAAGGCCUUCAAGUUGUUUUCUAACUAUGUUAUUAUAACUCAUAAAGUAGGUGUAGAUCACAGUAGGAAUAUUAUCCCUGCCACUAAACACUACACAAAUACCACAGUACACUCUCUGUCUGUCUGUCAUUUAUACAUCAGCUCACCUACUGUACGUUCUCUCUCUCUCUCUCUCUCUCUCUCUCUCUCUCUGCAUGGGAGAAACAGAAAUGAGGAGUGGGGGAUGGAGAGAGGGAGAGAGGGAGGGAAAUGGGGGUGCAGAAGAGGGAAAGAGAGCUAGAAAGGGGGAGGAAAACGAGAGAAGUGGCAGGUGCACGAGGAGGAUGAAGAGUUUGAAAGACGUGUUUCAGCAGCAUUGUUACGCCACACAAUAACCCUGUGUGUUAAUUGUACUGUCCAGGCUGAGGCACACUGCCUGCCUAUCAUGUGGACAAUGACACUGUAGACCUGAAUGGCCCUUAGUGAAUGCAUAUAGAGUGGUAAUGUGUACACUAAAUUCACACAGAGCUUUUCCAUUCACAUUAAGUACAGAAGUGUACAGUAUGUCCUCUAACCAGAGCCUGUGUCCAGGGCUAGAUGGCAUCACCACAUGGUGAUGUUUUUCUCUGUGUUCUAUAGGACGCGAUAUACUGUUAAAGUAAAUGGUGAUGUGGGAGUUGUGUUGUGUUGGUGUGUGUGAGGGGAUCUGUAGCAUUCUGUGGCUGGCUCGCUCACAGGCACUGCGGCUCUUUGUAUGGCAUUUUGUGUGUCUGUGUGUGUGUGUGUGACAUUGUUCCCAUCCACAUUGGGGACAGUGGCAGCGCUAUGAGAGGUAGAGCAGGUCAGAAUGACGGAAUAUUCUCUCCGUUGUAACCAUGGGUACUUCCAUGACAACCAACUGUGGAGCUGCAGGACAAGUUUUUCUCCUUUUUGGGGGCGGUGGGCAAGGAGGGGGAUAGAGGACGGCUUAGAGGUACAGGCCGG
rnacentral:lncRNA from 13 species